rnacentral:rRNA from 1 species
GCUUACGGCCAUAUCACGUUGAAUGCAACGGUUCUCGUCCGAUCACUGAAGUUAAGCAACGUCGAGCUUAGCCUAGUUAUUACUUAGACGGGUGACUGCUUGAAAACACCUAGGGGCUGUAAGCA